CCCCCUCUCCCAUAUGUCUCUCUUCCUCUUAUAUCACCCUUCUCCCCAUAUGUCUUUCUCUUCCUCUAUAUUAUCCCCCUUCUCCCCAUAUGUCUUUCUCUUCCUCUAUAUUAUCCCCCUCUCCCCAUAUUGUCUUUCUCUUCCUUAUAUUAUCCCCCUUCCCCAAUGUCUUUCUCUUCUCUAUAUUAUCCCCCUUCCCCAUAUGUCUUUCUCUUCCUCUAUAUUAUCCCCUUCUCCCCAUAUGUCCUUUCUCUUCCUCUAUAUUUCCCUUCUCCCCAUAUGUCUUUCUCUUCCUCAUAUAUCCCCUUCUCCCCAUAUGUCUUUCUCUUCCUCUAUAUAAUCAACCUUCUCCCCCUAUGUCUUUCUCUUCCUCUAUAUUAUCCCCCUUCUCCCCAUAUGUCUUUCUCUUCCUCUAUAUUAUCAACCUUCUCCCCAUAUGUCUUUCUCUUCCUCUAUAUAAUCAACCUUCUCCCCAUAUGUAUUUCUCAUUGAAACGUCUGAGCUGUGUCUGAGUCAUGAGACAGACAGUACAUCAUAGUGUGGAAUAAAGCAACAUGCCAGAUCCUGCCUUCAUACUCAACACUACCUUCACCGUUAGCUGGAGCUGCAAGGGGUUGCGGUUGAGGUGGGGCUAUAGGUGGAGCUGGGGCCAUGCAGCCAUGCUUCAGUAGCCCUGUGAGGGUCUGCUCUGCUGGGCUCUGAGACUUCCUUCCGGAGCAGAGUGACGGGACUCCUCCAUAAUUCAAUAACAAUAAUCCACAAUGAAGGGACAAUAAAGCAGGCAGGCCGCGUGGGGGUGAAACUAACCGGCCGUGGCCUCCUCCUCACUCCCGGGGGGGUGGCAGCUGCUGACAUGCUGCCUGCAGUGAAGGAGACAGGGAGGCAGACGUCGGAGCCUAUCUCACCCCUCUCCUCCCCUCUCUCUUCCCCCCUGAGCAGGGCAGAGUGGGGGACAGACCUGAGGAGUCCAGCUGAUUCCCUUAGUCUACUAGUCCCCUGGAAGACUGAGUGGAGGGGCCAUGACCGCUAGGAUAGCUAGCCUCCCCAAGCAACCACACAGGACUGCCAGAGCCCAAGCACCCAUUCGUCACACAGCCUAAAACAACACAAAAAUGUGCAAUGAGAUAACACACACACACAUAGACAUAUACUCUCCACCCGUGCCGGCUGGGGUAUGGAUGGAUUGUGGGAGGCAGGGCGGGAGGUCAGCUAUCGAUCAUCUCCUGGUCAAAUCAAUCGCCUGGCUUUUAAUUAAUGUGCCAUGACGCCUGCCUGACCCCACAGCCUGCAUUAUAUUAUUAUCUAUAGUCAUCAAUGUCCAGCCAAAACCCCCUCCCCGUCCUCCCCAGUCCUCCCUCCCUCCUCCUCCCCAUCCACCUCCCUCCUCUCCCCUUCUUCCUCUUCCUCCCCAUCACUCCCCUCUCCCUGUCCUCUUCUCCUCUUCACUCCCUUUCCCAUAGUAUUUAUGAUAGUCCCAGGGAGAAGUUAGUCAGGGGAGGGGGGGGGGGGGGGUGGUCAGGGUGGUCAGCUAGCUCUGUGUUGUCUUCAGGACCCUCUCUCUGUUUACACUAUCAUUACAACAAUCACAACACAUUGCCAUUCCUCCAACCCUGUAUUGUUUGACGCUCCGUCUGUUGCUCGGUCAGCUAACCAGUGUCUGGCCUGGACCUCAAGUUUAUUCAACCGCUUUGCAGCUAAUUAGAGGUAAUGACAGCAGUUGAGACCACAUUCUCCAGAUGCCUCUGUAAGAUCUGAGAGUGUGACAACCUAACAAACAAACAGUAACAACAGUAACUAGGGCAGGAAGAAUGUGUUAAUUAUAGCCAAUUGAAAAUGCUACUAUUAGCCUGUCUAUUCUAUACUCUCACCAGAGUAUAAUCUGAGGAGCAGGGCUGAUAGAUCUGUAAAAGAGUAUGUCUGAGGAGCAGGGCCUGUAGAUCUGUAACAAGAGUAUGUCUGGAGCAGGGCCUGAUAGAUCUGUAACAGAGUAUGUCUGAGGAGCAGGGCCUGUAGAUUGUAACAGGAUGUCUGGGGCAGGGCCUGUAGAUCUGUAACAGAGUAUGUCUGAGGAGCAGGGCCUGAUAGUCUGUAACAGAGUAUGUCUGAAGCAGGCCUGAUGAUCUGUAACAGAGUAUGUCUGAGGAGCAGGGCCUGAUAGAUCUGUAACAGAGUAUGUCUAAGGAGCAGGGCCUGAUGAUCUGUAACAGAGUAUGUCUAAGGAGCAGGGCCGAGUCGUAACAGGUAUGUCUGAGGAGCAGUUCCAUUUAAUCUACUCUCAUACAUGUUAACUACACUCCUAUGCUGCCAAGCUCCGAGAGAGACUGCCAGCCCCCCUUGAAAGAGCCACAAAACAGACUGCCACAGAGGACCCGUCGUCCACACAGCCUAGAACACCACAAAAAUGCUAAGACACACAAACACACCAGAGGUACGCAUACACACACAUACGCAUAGCGUGGAAGUGAAAGGCUGUCAUUACACCAGGCGACUGAGAGCUGAUAUAAAAAGAAUCGCGGAGACAGCUAACAAAGCGGUCUAAAAAAAGGAGUGUAAACUACAGUAUUACAGUCUAAUGAAAAGCAGUUAUUUUACUCUUUGUAACUGAAACAGCAGUUAUUACUCUUUGUAACUGAAACAGCAGUUAUUACUCUUUUAACUGAAAACAGCAGUAUUAUAAUCUUUGUAACUGAAACAGCGUUAUUACUCUUUGUACUGAAACAACAGUUAUUACUCUUGGUAACUGAAAACAGCAGUUAUUACUCUUUGUAACUGAACAGCAGUUAUUACUCUUUGAAAAUGAAACAGCAGUUAUUACUCUUGUAACUGAAACAGCAGUUAAUUUAAUAGAAGUGGACACGAUGAGAGGAGACUUUAUAGAAAACAGAGUGUCAUUUAGCUGUAUUUGCUUUGACAUGCUCGUACAGAAGAAUGUCCAGGCUAUCAUUUCUUUCCAGGCCUGACUGAUAACAGGCUCUUAAUGGCAGCAGCAUGGCAGGCCAUUGUGCCUGCCUCCGUCUGCAUCCGCCUGCCGU
rnacentral:lncRNA from 1 species